rnacentral:lncRNA from 1 species
AUGGUAAUCACUUCCGUAGGCUCAUUAGCAACCUCACAGCCAUGGGUCCCACUGUCACCCCUCCUCUCGGGGGCCCCUGCUGUGGUGUUGUCAUACCCUGUGUGCUCUGGCUUCACCGCCUGGUGCUCAGACCCCUCCUUUUGGGCUGCAUCUUCUCCUGUUUCAUACUUUGCCCCUUGGCCCACCGUGCUCCCGACGAUGGUUCUUCCGUUCUUCUGCUCUCCUCUCACGAGCCUGAGCUGGGAGCCGCGUUGGAGAGACCACAUAGAGAAGACAGCCCGGGACAACCCCGGAGAAGAGCCCCAGCCUGCUUGUCACUCCCUUCAAGAACAAGACCAGGCAAUGGGCCACCCUGCAAAUUUCAGCCUGGCCAAGUCCCCGGAUGACUACAUGCAUACCUGUCUGACCUCACGUGACCAGAACCACCCAGCUGAGCCCAGUCAAGUCUCAGAAUCAACCCUCUACGAAACUGGUUUGGGGAGGGGGUUCGUCUGUGAGUUUAACCCAUGUGGGGGAGCUCAAGUAGGACUCGCCGCAGAUCCUCCUCAGCUGGAAGAUUCCAGUUCUGUCCCCGGCUGUGCCCCCCUCCACCCGGGGGCUCCCCUGACCCCCAAGGAAAAGCAGAAGGACGAAGUCCAGCCCUGCGGCAGCGUGAGGGUCACCCCCUGCAGGCCAGACGCUCUUUGCCUCGCCCCGGGUCCCCUGCCAGGCAGCCACUGCGUCUUCGAAGCUUGAGCCUGUGUUAACUGCUCUUAAAAAAAAAAUAUGUUUUAAAGCAAUAAAAUCUGUACAUUAA